CGCGUUCGUGGUCGGACGGACCAGAACAGCCUCCCACCGCCAACCCAAGUUAAGUGUGGCGUCGCUGGAUCGCUCGAGUGAAGCAGAAACUUUCGGGUUCGCGUUGUAUCUGCUGACGAACGGCAGGGGUAGAUUGCCGUGGAGAUCGGCGAUUCAGUCGCCCAUUCAUCGUUCUUCCCACGGAAUCGGACCAGUAGCACGCGCAGCGAAGACGCAGAUCCGCAGAGCCACGUACAGCAGUGAACCGCAGCAGCAUCUUCGAACGCGGUCGCGGAGGAAUUCUACCGGGAUGGUAGACCUCACGCGCAGCCGCAACCUGGAAACCAGAACAUCACACCCUGUCCGGCAAGUCAACUUGUCGGAGAUUCAUCGCCUACGAGCAGCGGCAGCAGUCGCUCAAGUAUGCAGAUGUUCGUGGUUCCAGCAAAAAGCCUAAUGGGGUGGCACGGUUGUGGUCGGACGGGCCAGACCAGCCACUCCAAAACGGCUCCGAGUUAAGUAGCCCUAAUUACUGACCAUUUGUUCAGACAAUCAGCCGUAUUUAAUCUGUCCCCAGACUUCAACGCCCACAACAGUACUGCAUCCAUCUGACGUCAACUCCAACAGCAGUGUGGAGUACUACUCAACGAGUGUGGACGGUCAUGGCGUGUUGUCGUGUACAGCAGCGUGAUCCGUACAGGUCGCUAGGCCAGCGGCAGAAGCUUUCGGUGCGCCGACCGGAAGUUUCAUUGAUGUUCGCCCAGCUUUGGGGAACAAUCUCCACGUACAGUGGUGGAGACGCAACUACAGGCGCAAAGAUGACGUCAAGCAUGGAAGGGACACACUGGUCCCAACUUCCAUUCCAGUAGAGACGCAGUUCUCUUUGGUUAGCGGACGCUGAUCCGCUGACACCGGUACCACGAGGUGCCUACAAACUGGAAUGGUCUAGCAGAAGUUGAAGGCGAAGAAGAAGAAGAACCCAACAGCAGUUGGACUACAGUUCAGAUGUGGGGAACAGACGGACGGACGGAGGAGAACAGAAGUUGGACAAGUUAGCAGCAGAUUGUUUCGUCGGUUAUGGAUGGCCUGUGGGAACAGGCAACAACAACAAGUCGUUCGAAGAAGGACGUCACUGUAACUGCAGUACCAGUGAGUCAACACACGCCAGCAAGCAGGAUGAGAAGGAGAAAGGUCUGCCCAACCUGGGAGACAACAACAACAAACAGUACAGCAAGCGCAAGCGGACGAAACAAUCAGCAACAGUUCGACAAACAACAACGGGCAACUAACGGAGGACAAAGAAGGA